AAAAUGUUGUCUUCCUAUUUCUCUCUCUGGUUAUUAUCGAUCACCUAACGAGCACGGUAUAAAAGAUGGUAUUACGAGUAAGUUAGAGAGAAGAACGAUGUUUCAAAAGGAAAUGUCUUGCUAUUGAUACCUGCAAGAUCAUUUAUGGUAUUCCCUACAAGCACUAGAGAAAUUUUGAAAGACGUUGAGAAUUUUAGAUAAUAAAAUUUCUCCGACCUAUCUGUAAUUCAAUGUGUGCUCUACAUGCAUAAGAUAUAUGGAUAUGUAGUUUUUCCCCCAUUUUUUCAAAUUGGGCCUACAAUGUGAAGUAUCCCGUCAGUGUCGAUGAACUGUAUCGAAAGACUGAAAAUUUCAAAGGACGACUAAAUACUUCUCAUCCUGAUCACUUCGCCGAUUAUACAAAUUUUUAUUAUGGAAAAAAGAAAUCGAAAAAAAAAUAUUGUAAGCAUAAAUAACAUCUUUGGCCGACGUUUGACAGAUGGAAAUAAAAAAAUUUGGGAAAUAACGCUCACAAGAUAUUUUUGUUAUGAGAAAAUUUCAACGAUAAAAUUAAUUCCGUUUCAUUUAAUAUUAACGCUUGAUACAGCGCGAUGAAUUGAUCGAAGCAGAUGCGUUUAUCACAAUAUGCAGUUCUGUAAUGUGGAACAUUAGAUAUGGGAGUCAAUAGGAAAUGGCAACAGUCAGUCGAAUUGAAAGAGAUUGGCCCACAAACCUGUUUCCCCCUACUCUCAUCUCUUACGGAACAUUCGACCGCGGAAUAAGAAGUUUUGAUUGACUGGCGUAAAACGUAUUCAAAUCAAUAAUGCGAAAAGGAAAAUAUAUAUGACGAAUGAUUUUCGGUAAAUCUAUAUUCUUUGUCAUUAUGUAAUAAAGAAAGACAGAUGCUUGUUAACUUAAAUAAUACAAAGAAAACAGAAGGUAAUAUUACUAAACAAAUUUACAAGCAAUAUUUCUUGUUUGAUAUUAAUAUAUAUUUUUAAAUAUUUUAAACGAUAAAACUGGGAAAAAUAUUAAUAGCCGAUUAUCAAAAUUCUUUAGUUAAUUUCUAGUUGCAAAUUCUAAAGAACAGAAGGUAUGAAACAAAGAAAAGACCAGAAACAAAAAAAGGAAAAUAAUUUCUCCAGUUAAUGGGAGUAUCAUUGAGAAGUUUUGCUUACUUACUUCCCACCCACGACAUUUCGGCUCUUUCUUUGACAUAAUACGUGGUAUUGAUUAACUGCAUAGAAUGUAAAUCUCUUUCCACCGAGCCACGCCUCGGAAAUUAGCUAGGUCAUCCAAGAUGGCGAUUUGCGGAAGAAAUUCUGCAGAAGUCAUCUUCUCAAUAAUUUUUGAAGGAGUAAUACGCAAGUAAAUGAUAGAAUGAUCGCGUAUAUAUUUCUUACGUUUCAAAAGAAACUUACAAGCAGUUCAAACAGUACUAACAAUUUCUUCAUUCUCCCUAGUCUUUUGUUCGUUAUCGAUAUAAAGUAAAUUUAUCAGUAGUCAUUAGUAUAUAAUUUAUUAUAAAAUUUCAUUUCUAUUGUGGUAAUGAAACUGAUUUUCGUGAUCAAUGCCAUCCUAAUUAUUAUUUUGUUGCUUUUCGGAGAAGAUACUUUAUCUGACUUAAAUGGGCCUAACCCAAUUUACCUUCGAUGGCUGCAUAUUUAAAUGAACAAUUGAAUGUCUAUCCUAAGUCGUAACUAAUUUACGAAAUUUAAAUUAUGUCAGAGAUAUACCAGACUAAAUGAAGGCAAAAGCAAUUCCAAUAGUUCAGAAGUAUUGCAGAGGAUCAGAAUUGAACGAUAUCUGGAUUGUAAUUACGUCCAAAGAAGAUAUAUGGAUUUCAACUAAGCUUAAUACGAUCAUUAAACAUUUGACAUCCAAAAUGAAACGCUCUUCCAUUGGUACAUCCUGUUUUUCCUCAAAUCCGACGAUUCGUUCUACUUGGAUAGUAGAAAUGUCGGAACGUCAACGAGCGUAGGAAAUGGAAACGUUUACCUCUUCAGUCUUAUAUUUCAAUGAGAUUUUAUCAUGGCGACUAGAAUAUUUCUAUAGUGGAACAUUAUUCGAGCAUAUUGAAGCAGAAGAGUGUUUCAAGAGGCAGUUGAAAAUUCUAACAAAGGAAGGAACAUCGUUAGCUAUUGUUCAUGUAUGCAUUAUGUGAUUGUGAAUACCUAGGAAGAGGAAAAAGAAGAAAAUACAUACGUGCUUGACGACGAAGUUUCGAAAGACCAAUAUGGCGCUGUUUUAUAAAACUUGGAACCCUCGUACGGGGAAAUGGGAGGGACCUUCCUUCUUCAAAGCAUCUAACCGUGAGCUGCUUCAGUUGGAGGGUAUAAGCGAUUGUGCUCAAAAAGAUUUGUCGAUGAGCCGUCCGACGUUCCACGCGGGGCAAGGAUCACAGGGGAAUUAAAAUGAAACUGAGGGACGUUUAUCAUAUAAAAUAAUUGAACAGACAGGGACGAUCAAAAGAUUCAUCUUUUUUCAAAGUAAUACCAUUAGCAGGGGAAUACUUUUAAAUUAAACGUGAAAUAGAAAGUCCACGUCACGUCAUUGUUGUUCCAUCGAUUUAAAUUAAAUAACCAUUCGAUAUAAUUAAAAAGGUAGAAGUAUUGAAUUCUAUAUUUCAAACUGUUUGCCGAAAUAUUCACGACAUAUACAUAAAAAAUAUUCGUAAUACUUAAUUAGAGUUUUUCUUAAAUAUUGAUAUUUGGAUGAAAUAAUUUGGUGCGUAACGCUAAUUACCCAUUUAGUAUAUUACGAAAGGAAUUUCGUGAUAGUGGAUGUCCGUAAUACGUUCUCCCAUAUUUAUCCUCAAGUACCUUCGUUUAAACCUUUCUCCAUUAUCUCUCUCCAUGUACGUGUGCUCUGGUGCGCGUCUAUCGGCAUCAGAUCGAGUGGCUUGCAUUGAGUGUGCGUGUGUACGUAGAACUCCUGCCUUAUUUUGAUAAUAAGGAAGGUAUUUUUUCAUUUGUUUUCUUGUCAUCAAACCAAGCAAACAAUAGGAGAUUGGCUGUAUAAUUCAAUAACCUAUUUAGAUUCAUUGUUUGAUAACAAGCUUACAUAUUUUGCAGAACAAUAGCCUAUUUUCUAAGGAACCAAUUGAUUUGGAACCUUAUAUACGUUAGAUUAGAUAAUUAGAAGUGUAAUGGUAUUAUUGUUUUGCAUUCUCCAAUAGGGAGUAACUUUCCGGAACAAUUUAUCCGUUCAUAUGGAAGAAUCAUAUCAGCCGUGGUAUAUCGAUCCGCAAAAGACAAAUGAAAUCAUACAGCUAAAUAGAUAAUUGAAUUAUACCGUUAAUCCUAUUAUCGCAUUGUCUGCUUGGUUUGAUGAGGGAGAACUAAUGAAAAAAUACCAUCCUUGUUUUCGAAAUAAGAGAGGAGAUGUACGCAAACACGCGCACUCAUUUCCGUCCACUUGACUGGAACACGUAUACGCGCAUGUGCACGGAGAGAGUUAGUAAUAAAUCGUUCAAUAUGAAAGUGCUAAACGAUAGGUAGGAGAGAACGUAUUCCUCAACGAGCAAAUCGUUAAAUGCCGAUCAAUACCCCUUAACAAGGGAAUUUGUAGGCAUGGAGAAUCAUAUAUUUUUGCAGAAAAAUCGCAAUUUUGUCCAUUAUAAUUUUCUAUGAUGUCUGUGAUAAAUGUUGAAUCUAUUCUUUUCCAACAUUAUCAUCCCUCGCAUUAUCCGUGAGGUCUUUCCGUUUUUUUGUUAGAUGUAAUGACUAUCACUCCUAUCGUUUUCUUCCCGAUUAAUAUUUUUUUUUUCUAAGAUGUCUGUUUUAAUGUUUGUCUUGUAGCCAAAAUUCUCCUUCGAUAUUACUUAUGGCACGAAACUUACUCGUGUUUGGAAAUUUUGCCAUUCUCUUAAUGAAAAAGAAAUGAGUAAGUAAACAGGUUGGAAGACUGAAAUUGUAUAUUACGAAAUCACGAAACGAUAUAUACCAAAGGAAUAUUACGUUUCUGAUUUUUUGGCUUAUUAGUGUAGGGAACUAUCUGUUUCACUAGAAAUUUCAAUACGACACGAGUUCAGCUUCGCAAAUCUCCCCUCAGUUUCAUGAUUGCUUGUUUACUCCAUCAAAUAUCAUUGCAUCGUACGAAGCGUACUCGCGUACAAUUGCAGACAAGUCCUUAUCUCUCUCUUUAAGUGGUUUAUAGAAGCCCUCAGACCGUUGUGAACGUACUUCUUUUUCAUAAAAUCGACUGACAUUCUUUUCAUAUAACUUGGUAAUUUGACCAUUUCUUGAUUAACUAACCGAGUGGUUCUCUCGAAGGGAAAAUACGGUAAAGAGGGGAAGGUAAUAUUAGGAAACCAUAAAUGUGACGAAAGAUUUUCUCCGAAUUCGUUUUUUAUUAUUAUGGAAUAGCGAAAAUGCUAUCUUCGAUAACUUGAGCAAUAUGCAUUUGUUUACAAGAAAAGGAAAUAAUAUUUGGAGAAAAUGUUUUCAUGCAAUAUGGCAGUAGAUAUAACUUCCGACGAAAAAAUUUUUUAAGAGAGAUGAUUUUACUAUAAGAAUUACAUAGUAUAUACGUAGCACGAAAAUUUAUAGUGAUAUCAUUAUGAAUAAUAGAAUACUAUAUAGAAUCAUUAGGAAUAAUAGAAUACUGGUAAUAGAAUACUAUAAUAUCCAUAAUAUCAUUAUGAAUAAUAGAAUACUGAUAAUAGAAUACUAUUAAGCAUAAGUCAGACUUACAAAAAAAAUAACAGUGCGAAUUUCCUAUAUUAAUAUCCGAUUAACUUCAUAAGAAUUAGUCUUCAUAAUUACAAUAAUUAUUAUUAUAAUAAUUAAUUAUAUUAUAAAUAAUUACAGUUUUAUGUGAUUAUUUCAAUUAAAAAAUAGACGAAUUAUUGUAAGAUUCUCAUUAGGAAAUUCCAUGAUAUAUUACACAGAUAAUUUCGCAUGAACAUAGAGUAUAUAUACAUAUAAUUACAUAACUAUAGGAGUGGGGAAAUUAUUUAUCCCCAUGCGUUCUAGUUAGAUAAUUAGAUUUUAGGAAGCUUGGUCUUCUAUCCAGCUAACAUGUGGCUAAUUAAACUAGGUUAAGUCAUUCCUUCCGGGAUUUGCGACCCAGUAAUACGCAAGUGUGUCUCAUACGCGAAAUAAUCCCUAGCUAUCAUCUUUAUCACUAAUCAUUCUAUUAUUCCAUUAAUAUUCAUUAAAUUUGACAUUAUAUUUGUAUAAGAUUUAUUAAAAGAUUUCAUUUCCAUAUUAUAG